CACGACUUCGCCUGUGGACCAUGGGUUGCUCUACUUCUUCCGGACCUAGAUCUGAUGAUGCUGAGUCACUUCAGUGUAGCAGGAUGCACUUCAGGCUAGUUUCUGAACAAGAGUGCAGAAAUAAAUCUGGAACAAUUACCUCCAUGAACAUAGAAAUCUGAGAAAAACUGCGUUGCCUCCCUUUCGCUGUACAACGCGAUGCGUGGCAACGAAGUGACUCAGCGGCGGUCGACUCAGUCCAUUACCAACUCGACCAGUUAUAAAUGGACUCCACCCCUGCCUUGAGUCGACUUGACCGGAGACGAAAGACGCUAUAGCUUAAUCAGAUCUUUUCAUAAUUUGCAUGCCUCGCUCUAGCAGCGUAAAAGAUGGUCUUGUCAAGCGAAACGAACAGGUCAAGCGCCAUUUUGUCCCACGAUAAUGGCCGCCGCUUGAAAUUUGUAGAGGGCAGACGUUAUCUGAAUGUGACAUGCGAUCAGCCUCACAGAACAAUAAUAAAAUAAAGUCUUAUUAUUUUUGCUGGUUUAUACUUUUCACUCAUUUUAUUUUAGAAGCAUACGCGCUAUGUCACUUGCGUGUGUGUAGAAAACGGAUUUUUCUUAUGGAAGUGGUUGUGGAGAUGAGUGAGCAAACAGGCGCGCACUGAUCUGUGUAUAGUUCGUACAGACCGGUGAACUGUGAGGUCAUCUGUAAAAUUGUGUACAUGGCUUUCGCCCCAUCUUUUGGGAUUUAUUUUUUUCUUACACAGAGAAUAUUCAGGACUAAAGAGAGUAUAUAUAUAUAUGAGUCGAUCUAGUGCUGAGAAUACUGAUCACUGUUUUCUGUAAUUGUUUGGUGAGUAUAGUUCCUGUAGAGAGCAGCGGUGUUGAGAUAACGACAUGGCCAGUCCGCGGGAUUCCCAUGCUAGUCCUCUCUGCUCAUACAUACGUCACCGUUCAGUUUCCUAAAUCGACAUCUUCCUUCCGACAUUACGCACAGCGCAUCCAAGUGGCUUGUAACGGGGCGGUAACGCGAACUGCUCUGGCACGCGAAACUGGAUCCCCAACUAUGUGUACCUACGUCAUAGCUGAGUCAAGGUCCUGACGCGUGACGUCAGAGCACGGUAACGCCUCUUGUGGAAUCUCUUGCCCACCAGCGCCUGCGACGACUGAAAAUAGCUGCUAUUAUCGGCCCAAGUGGGUUACAGUCGAGCCCACAGGCCCGCUCGCUGCCGCUCUACAGCUGUAGUCAGGAAUGUGGUGUAGUCCAUUUUUUUCUGUUGUGACUUCAUCCAUGUCGUUCCUGUGCGGCAUGCUUUGUUCAGCCCCGAGUUUUAUAAUGUCUGACGUGUAAGCUGGACAAAAACGAUACUUUUCAACAUAUGACUAAGGGAGUGGUGCGUGGUUCAUUCAUUCAUCUGUACUUUCAUUCGUCUGUUAUUCGGUCGUCCAUGUGUGUGUGAGAGAGAGAGGGGGGUUUGCACCUAGAAUGUUCUCGUGCCCGCACUCUCAAAUUGAUUAUGGGCGGAAAACUCCGUCAGCACGGAACACGUCAGCGCGCCUGUGACGUUAGUCUUGACCAGCUGUUGCUCGAGGAUGUCCCGGGCGAUGAGGGUUGGUCGGGGGAAAACUGGUCAACAAUCUGUCAUUGAUUUGCAGGUGACUGUGACGUCAGGCCGACGUGGAGCGGGAUGCGCACAGUUGUCCACGUCAGCUACGGCAGCUGGUCGUCGAACACCCACGUACACUUCUAUGGACUCUUGAUGCUCCACUCUUGAUCCUGUAAGUCCAGGACUGGUGCUUGACACGAACCGCGGCAGUUUGUUUGUACUAUGCCUAAUCGAUGGAAUUCCUACUGUGAUAACAUGAUUUAUUUCAAUAAAUUAUAGCCGAAGCUUAAUGUGUGGUUAAAGGCUGACAACAGAGCAUAACGUAUCACAAAAGGUAUUCCGAUAAUGAUUUUUGAUCCCCCACCCAAAAAAAAAGGUUCGAGAAAAUUUAUAUUAAUAGUUUUUGUUCAAAUCACACCUUAAUUUAUCAAAGAGACAAGAAGUGACGUACCUUCACAUUAAUGGUGGCAUCGUCUGCUAGUUUGGGCUUCACAUAAGUAAAAGUUGUGUGCAGUCUCCUAUACAGUGCAGCUACUUAUACAAUGCAGGCAAGUCCUUAGCAAAGAAUUGUAGAUACAGCAGUGAGUACACAUCGCGUGCUCGUUCACCUGGCAUUAUAGCAACUGAGUGUGAGUAAUGUGUGUUGAAAGCAGAUAAAGCUACACGGUAGUAUGUCGAUACAUUUUUGCAAAUAACGAACAGUAAUAAAUGAUAAAUCAAUUUAUAUAAAUUAAUUACUUCUGACUAAUUUAAAUUAUGAAGCAAUGUUAUAUUGCCAGAGCAAACUUAAAAUAAGAUAAAAAGCAUUGUAUGAAAAUCUUUUCAAAACAUCAGAAGCCUUGUAACAUUUGUUUCGUCAGUAAACGAGGGGCUACGUGAACUAGUUGGGUAAGUUCAUGAGUACAAUCUCAGUUCAGCCUCACCCAGCAACUCAUAAAAGUCGAUUAAACCUUAAAGUUCGGCUCUCUUGUGCACUAAGGCUCGUGUUGAAAUGUUUUACACUUUAUUUUUUUACUGUUUUCUACACUCUGUUAACCACUACUCUUUGCCUACAGUCAUGUGCAUGGUGGUUGUGUACCACCAUACAAUAUAUUGUUGCAGGAGAGCUGCCCUGCUUCACGCCGCCAAGUCACAAGUGCAUGUUAAGCACUCGUCAAGUUACAGGUGACUUGUCGGAGCAGAGAAGACACGACACGGGUGCACGUAGGCGUGAACAGUAAACAGAAAAAUGUUUGUAUUGCUUCCCUUGACAGUCAAGCUGUCUGAACAUCAAUGUUUGGCCUGAUGAAAACCCACGCUAGUUGUUACAAGCAAACACUUUAUUUGGGAUGCGCUGUGCUGUAAAUAACAAAGAACACUCCCACCUGUACUUGUUUUUUCCACUCCUCGCCCUUUACUACAUGGCUACAAGAUAAUUAGCUCUGAUUCUGAACCGGCGAGACAUCUCUCAGCCAUUGUUUAGGUUUUAAAAAAACACACCCACAAACUUCCAGUUCUUGUUCACUCGAGCAGCGGGAAACAUGUAAAUGCUUCAGGAGGGGGCGAACCUCCUCUAGCUAAACACACAGGUAUCAGAAUCUAUUGAAUGAGAAAAUAAACUGGUUCGGUAAUGUAUAAUGCCAUUGCGAGGUGAAGACGGACAUUUCAGGUUUAAGCAUUCUUUCUCCAUGUGAUAAGACUGCGCGGGGAUGUGAGAGCGAAAAAAAAAAUCGUGUAAGGUUUGUACCGCACAUACAAUGUUAGCAGCCAGUCUGGUGUGGAGGGUUUUCUAUAGUUACUUGGUGGCUGCUCAUUACAUAUAAAUAAAAUAAUCUUUAAGUCAUUUAUUUUGAAGUUUUAAACAGGCUAACCUGCUUUUUUUUUUUUUUGCAAUGAUUGAAAUACAUAAAAAGUACUCUAAAAUAAAAUUUGUGAUACACAUCAGCUAAUUAGAAUGAAAUUUAUACCGUGAGAGAGUAGUGGGCACAAUAACACAAUAGCAGACGACAAUCAAACUAAAGAAGGGAAACUUUAGAGUCAGUAAUGUACAGAAAAGGAGAACUGGCUCUUUGAUAUUCUUAUUCGUCUCGGUAUUAACUCGUAUCGCUGUAGGAGUUAACAUGUUUGGCUUCAACUUUCUCUUUUUGUUUUUUGUGCAUGGGUAGGAGGCUAUUUUUUCUAUUGUCUGGCUAUUGCCAGAUAAAUAUUUUUUACAACUGAAACUAGACUAAGAAUGGUAGUAUCAUCAUAACAGAAUAAUUGCCAAUCAUGUGUGACGAAGCCUUAGACACAAGUAGUGAUACACAUACAGUGGACAGUCUGAUAUGGAGUACACCGCCACUCAAGAAUCAUACAAAUAAAUCAAAAUUUAAAUCUUAAAUGUAUUUUUUUAUUUCUGUAACUCAGUUAUAGUUGUUUCAUGAGAUACGAAGUUAUUUUUGUAUGUAUUGAGUUGUCUAGUAAGGUUGUGGACGCUGCUGACGAUCGCGGAAUAUUUCCAUACAUGCGAGGGUCACAACUGGCGCCAGGUAUCACACUGCAGCCUCAUCGAUCUUUCCGCUUGCCUGCGCCUACAUGCUGCACAGCACCAGCAGCUCCACGCAGUCCUCCAGCAGCCCAUAUCGCAUGCUGCACAGCACCAGCAGCUCCACGCAGUCCUCCAGCAGCCCAUAUCGCAUGCUGCACAGCACCAGCAGCUCCACGCAGUCCUCCAGCAGCCCAUAUCGCAUGCUGCACAGCACCAGCAGCUCACAGUUCUCCAGCAUCCAGCCCACACAUGCUGUACAGCACCAGCAGCACGCAGUUCUGUAGCAUCCAGCUUAUUUCACAUGCUGCACAGCACCAGCAGCUCCACACAGUUCUCCAGCAUCCAGCCCACACAUGCUGUACAGCACCAGAAAUUAUAUGCUGCUCUCCAUCAUGUAACUGUCUGCACAGCAGUCCGUCCAUAUGCUGCUUCUUGUUGUUCUUUGUGGUAAGAUGAGGUGAAAUAAAAGAAGGAAUCUUAGACACAAUUUUUAUUAACAAAGUGAAGUGGAACCAAAGAUAUUUAAUGUAAGUUCUUUGUUAUGAGUUCCCGGCGAAAUCCCCAUGAUCACGUGGUACUCUGCCUGUGCAAUGCCUUUUUUUUUUAAAAAAAAAAACAUUGGUGGCAAUGGGGUGCUUAAUUAGUGUAGUGAUGAAGUUUUUGCAUUUUAUGUCUGGGUUCGAUGUAGACUACCAGUUGUAUUCACGGAAAGUGUAGACAAUCAUACAUAUGAUUGAUGCAGAGGAAUAGCUGUAAAAGAGUGAUGUGUUUUCUAUAAAGUUGUUAUGUUGGCCAUGGUAGACAAGAACGGUCUCUCUGCAGUGUAAUCUGUUCUAAUCCAUUGACAAACAGCUUAACAGUUUCAAAUUUCUCUACCAGAUACAAGGUCGUCAAGCAGAUACCAGCAUAUUCCUCGGCUGUUCUAUGCUUUAUUAUGUAUUGUUACUCUAAUCACUCAUAUCUCCAUGAUAGUUAUCAAUGAGUUUAUUUCACAGAUGCGCUAACGGUCUUCUCUCUGGUAAAUAUUUGGUUCACACAUAAGUUAUUUCAGAGUUCCUUGUAUCAUAAAAAUAUUUCAGUUCUAUUUUUUUAAUUUCCCUUUUUUUUAUUCUCAUUAAUAGGCAAAGACCUUUUUUGUGUUGUUGUCUUUGAACUCAGGGUUAAAAUUUAAUUUCCCUAAAUGGGAAUUAUGCAAGUUCUCUACAGAAAAAGUCUGCAAAACAGAAUAUUUUUCAGUGAUGUUUUUCACUUCCUCUCUUUUUACAAAGUCACAAAAACAAGCCGGAAAAUAUCUUUAAAAAUAUUUAGAAAUAGUUUAUCAACAUUGGAAACAUGACGUCACCUACACAUCGCAUUUAGCAUCGUUGACGAAAAGAAGAUUUUCCUCGCUGGGCUGAAAGCGUCCCCCCAAAGCCCAUUGCGACUAAAAAAAGGUCGGGAGAGAAGUUUUUAGCAACAGAUUGAACGAAGUGCACCAAGCGCGUAGACGAUAAUAGAAACAUUUCCCCGAGAAUCCAUUAAAUGAUGUUUAAUUUAAGACUCGACUGAAGUACUGUAUCCUCUGCCGGCCAAAAGCUGGGGAUUUAUAAACGUCACACAAAUCUCGUCCGCCCGCACGCGUCACGCCGACGUCACUGCCAGUAUCGAUCGGGGUCAGCGCUUUGUUGGCGUACAGCCGUGACGUCAGCCUGUCGGGUGGUGGCGGACACGGGCGUGAGAUGAGGCUGGCGCAGUUAUCUGCCUACAGGGACGUCAGGCAGUUGAUCGAUCUCAUGAAAUCAAGAGACCAGCGGCCGAUGCCUCCCCAACCCAUGUCCCUCUGCUGUCUUCUCGCACUUCACUCGCUCCUCAGCAACCGUUCUUACAGCUACUUCGCGUGAAAAUAGUUCUUGUGCAUCUCUCAGCUCUGUAACUGCUUGUAUUAAACUGUCGCCAAAUGCAGAUCAAAAUACAAUGAAACAUAAUUAUGAUUACAAUUAACUUUUG